rnacentral:lncRNA from 1 species
GGAAAGCCAGGGUGCCAAGAAGAGUGAACUGUCUCAAUAAGGCUACCAGGUUGUAGGCAGGAUUGGGGGCAGGGUCACAGACACUGGCUCAUCAUGGUGUCAGUUUUAGGCUCCCAACUUGGAAUGCUCGGAUGGAAAUGGUGGACACAACAGAGACAGCGUUGAGCCUACUGGGGCCAUGGGAAGGGACCAAAGAGCCUGCUUCUGCCCUGUACUCCAUAAGAUAAAUGUAUAUGUCCCUUCUCUAA